ensembl:lncRNA
GGAACACUGGCACCAUUUCCUCAUGCCUGCCCCUUUGCAUUUCUGCAGCUGCCUUUCUUAGAAGUAGAGAAAGGAGGGGCAGAAAAGGAAAGACUAAAAGCAGCAGCUGGGAAAGGUGAGGACUGACAGCAGCCAUAUAAGGGGGUAUUAACCUUUCAUAAACCUGCUCUCUGGCCUGUGACUGGAACCAGGGAAUAAAUAUCACUGCUGUAGUCAGUCUCCAGCACGCAGCACAGUUGUUCUGGCAUGCACCAGUUUCCUGCAAACUGCAGUUUCAUUUACAGAGUGUUAGCAUAGAGGUGAGACGGAUUUGGCAAACAUUAAAUAAACUGCAGACCUCAAGCAGGAGGCCAGUAGUGAAGAACAGGCGUUCAGGAAGGGUUUGCCAUAGGUAGUUCAGCACAUCUGAAAUCCAGCACCGCAUGCUUGAAAGCCUAGACUUCCUUCUCUGUAGCCUCUCAAGGUCUGGAGAUUGCUGCCCAUCUCCCGCAGCACAUUCUGGAGCUUACGACGUUUGCUGAAGAGGUACAGAGUGCAGACCCACGGGGGAAAUGGCGCUGUGCUUUGAGGCAGGUGGACUGCAAGCGUACCGUGGGGCAUCAGACCUGACUGAGGGAGAGAGCUGGAAAAUUAUUUAUGCCUGGUGAAAUGUGGCGUGCGG